rnacentral:rRNA from 1 species
UACGUAGGUGGCAAGCGUUGUCCGGAAUUAUUGGGCGUAAAGCGCGCGCAGGCGGCCUUUUAAGUCUGAUGUGAAAGCCCACGGCUCAACCGCGGAAGGUCAUUGGAAACUGAAAGGCUUGAGUACAGAAGAGGAAAGCGGAAUUCCACGUGUAGCGGUGAAAUGCGUAGAGAUGUGGAGGAACACCAGUGGCGAAGGCGGCUUUCUGGUCUGUAACUGACGCUGAGGCGCGAAAGCGUGGGGAGCAAACAGG